UGGCCAUAUCACAUCAAAACACCAGUUCCUGUAGGAUCACUGAAGUUAAGCAACAUUGAGCCUGGUCAGUAACUAGAUGGCUGAUCACUUGGGAAUACCAGGUGCUGUAA